rnacentral:misc_RNA from 1 species
AGGUGUCCGGUGAGAAAUGGGUUGGCUAGUGCCUAUGCCAUGCUUCCCCCCCCACCUAUCUACGAUGGGUGGGCAUGGCAUAGGCACUUGGUCGUCGGGUUCGGUUGUCGGUCCGGCGGGCUCCGGCCGUCCACCGAUCGUCGAUUCCGGCGACCACGGUAACGGGGAAUCGUUGGUUUUUUUAAAAAGAUUUUGCUGUCCCCCCUAAAGGUUUUUGUCCGUCCCCCCUAAAGGUUUUCGUCCGUCAAAGCGGUUGUUCGUUGUGCUCCACCAUAUCAAAACUUUCUCGAAAACGAUGCAAAAGGAUAGCAUCCGAAGGUCUGUGGCGGUGGGUGGGGCGUAACGGGGAAUCGUUUGUUUUCUUAAAAGAUUUUGUCCGUCCCCCCUAAAGGUUUUCGUCCGUCAAAGCGGUUGUUCGUUGUGCYCCACCAUAUCAAAACUUUCUCGAAAACGAUGCAAAAGGAUAGCAUCCGAAGGUCUGUGGCGGUGGGUGGGGCGUAACGGGGAAUCGUUUGUUUUCUGAAAAGAUUUUGCUGUCCCCUAAAGGUUUUCGUCCGUUAAAGAGAUGAUUACUCGUUGUGCUUCACCAUAUCAAAACUUUCUCGAAAACGAUGCAAAAGGAUAGCAUCCGAAGGUCUGUUGCGGUGGGUUGGGCGUAACGGGGAAUCGUUUGUUUUCUUAAAAGGUUUUCCUGUCCCCUCGUUUUGCUCCAUAUCAAAACAUCCCGAUAAAGAUGCGGAAGGACUAGCAUGCUUAGGCUUGUGCUAACUUGAUGCAUCGGAAGGUUUGUUGCGGUGGGUUGGGCGUAACGGGGAAUCGUUUUUUUUUUAAAAGAUUUUCCUGUCCCCUCGUUUUGCUCCAUAUCAAAACAUCCCGAUAAAGAUGCGGAAGGACUAGCAUGCUUAGGCUUGUGCUAACUUGAUGCAUCGGAAGGUUUGUUGCGGUGGGUUGGGCGUAACGGGGAAUCGUUUGUUUUUUUAAAAGAUUUUCCUGUCCCCUCGUUUUGCUCCAUAUCAAAACAUCCCGAUAAAGAUGCGGAAGGACUAGGAGAUGAUUACUCGUUGUGCUUCACCAUAUCAAAACUUUCUCGAAAACGAUGCAAAAGGAUAGCAUCCGAAGGUCUGUUGCGGUGGGUUGGGCGUAACGGGGAAUCGUUUGUUUUCUUAAAAGGUUUUCCUGUCCCUUAAAGGUUUUUGUCCCUCGGAUUGUGCGUUUCUUCACGUGAAGCGGUGUUGGUGAGGUCUUGCUUGAUGUUUCCGCAUGCUCAGCGGUUCUAGUAAACGUUGGGUUGUGGUUCGUCCGGUUGGGUCAUCAUCAAAUGUACGCAACUCAUGUGUGAGUGGUGGUGGGAUGGAAUGGGUCUGCAAGCUCCUUGCCCAGCGCAACGAAUUGUAAGCUCUCCAUCCUUUUCGUAGUCUUCCCCAAGCAUGGUCAUUUGCCUUGUGGGUAAGACCGGUAUCCUGUGUUUUUUACCAAUUGAAUGGAAUUCGAUUUUUUUCGUUUCUCUAUUCGCUCGGUUCCUUUAAGGGUGUUGGGUGGACGAUAGGCUGGCCUCGUGUUCCAGGUGCAUCUCGCAUUUUUGUGUGGUUACCAUGGCCCAUGGGGUUAUGCUUGUUCUCUUGGAUGCGGAUCGUUAGUUGUGGGCGAGGGGUUACGACCUCCAUUCGUCCAAGCUAUUAUGCAUCUGUCAAACGACGCGAACGACUGCUGCACCCGUCUUGGCUUGCACAGUUGAACGGCUGUACAAUGUCCAUGCGAGUGUCGGUGUCGUGAAAGAAUGC